rnacentral:ncRNA from 1 species
GCGUAGCGGAGGGGAGGGGGUAUAUAUUUAAUGUUCCAUUAAUUGCGUCUAUUUAAUAAAGUUUGAUUCUUUCUUUUAAAUUUAAAUUUUGAAUUUUAUUAUAUGUAAGGUUUUCCUUAAUUUUUCUAAAUGAUUGUUUUUCAGUAUUUUAUUUUGGUUUUUAUUGAAAGAUAAAAUCAGGAUUUUAAAUUAUAACUGACAAAAAUUGUGCCAGCCGUCGCGGUUAUACAAUUAGUUAAAUUAAAUUUUUUUGGUUUAAAUAUUAAUUUGUUUUUUUAUAUGUUAAGUUUAUGUUUUUAGGUGAAAUUUUUAUUUAAUAUAUCAUGUUGGUUAAAGAUUUAUAUUUGAAAAUCAUUUUAAGACUAGGAUUAGAUACCCUAUUAUGUUGAUUGUAAAUUUUCCUUAAUAUUAAUAGUUAUUUUCUUUAAAUUAAAAGAAUUUGGCGGUUAUUUAAUCUUUCUAGAGGAAUCUGUUCUGUAAUUGAUAAUCCACGAUUGAUUUUACUUUAAUUUUGCUUAUAUAUCGCUGUCAUUGAAUGUUUUAUGAGAAUUAUUUUCUUUAAUCUUUAUAAGAAAAAUGUUAGGUCAAGAUAUAGCUAUAUUAAAGAAGAAAUGGAUUACAUUAAAUUUAUUUUUGGAUAAGUAUUUGAAAUUUUACUUUGAAAUUGGAUUUAGGUGUAAUUUUUAUAAAAUUGUAAUUUUGAUUUUAGUUCUAAAUAAUGUACACAUCGCCCGUCACUCCCAUUAUGAGUUGGGAUAAGUCGUAACAAAGUAGGCCUACCGGAAGGUGGGCCUGGAUAGU